ACGAACGCUGGCGGCAUGCCUAACACAUGCAAGUCGAACGAGACCUUCGGGUCUAGUGGCGCACGGGUGCGUAACGCGUGGGAACCUGCCCUUAGGUUCGGAAUAACUCCCCGAAAGGGGUGCUAAUACCGGAUAAUGUCUUCGGACCAAAGAUUUAUCGCCUUUGGAUGGGCCCGCGUCGGAUUAGCUAGUUGGUAGGGUAAAAGCCUACCAAGGCGACGAUCCAUAGCUGGUCUGAGAGGAUGAUCAGCCACACUGGGACUGAGACACGGCCCAGACUCCUACGGGAGGCAGCAGUGGGGAAUAUUGGACAAUGGGCGAAAGCCUGAUCCAGCAAUGCCGCGUGAGUGAUGAAGGCCUUAGGGUUGUAAAGCUCUUUUACCCGGGAUGAUAAUGACAGUACCGGGAGAAUAAGCUCCGGCUAACUCCGUG
rnacentral:rRNA from 1 species